AUUUAUAAAGUUUAUAUAACAUUUCAUUUUCAAUGAAAAAAAAAGAAUUAAAUGUUCUUUAUAAAUA
rnacentral:tRNA from 1 species